AAGGGAGACCUAAUUCAGGUAGGAGACGAAAAAAAAGUAGUCGCUACCAAGAAUCAAUCCCAAAAGGUCGGAGCGAGGCGAAAUUGGCUUUCAAACUAGGUUCUGGGUUCAAACAAGACCUGAAUCAGGAACAAGGGCUAUUAGCUCAGGUGGUUAGAGCGCACCCCUGAUAAGGGUGAGGUCCCUGGUUCGAGCCCAGGAUGGCCCACCUGCACAGGUGGCAAAAACAAGAGAAGCGAGGAAUCAGCACCUUAUCUUACUGACAUAGUAAGAGAGAAUGCUGGCUCUGAGUAAAGAGUCCAGAGGAACCUUGAAAACUGCAUAGAGCUAGGUGAAAAAGCCAAAAAAGAAGACCGCAA
rnacentral:tRNA from 1 species